UACGAAGGGGGCUAGCGUUGCUCGGAAUCACUGGGCGUAAAGCGCACGUAGGCGGAUCUUUAAGUCAGGGAUGAAAUCCCAAGGCUCAACCUUGGAACUGCCUUUGGUACUGGGGAUCUCGAGUCCGGAAGAGGUUGGUGGAACUGCGAGUGUAGAGGUGAAAUUCGUAGAUAUUCGCAAGAACACCAGUGGCGAAGGCGGCCAACUGGUCCGGAACUGACGCUGAGGUGCGAAAGCGUGGGGAGCAAACAGG
rnacentral:rRNA from 1 species